AUCACGAGGGCUUAACUGUCUCCCCUCCCCAGUCAAUGAAAUUGAUCUCCCCGUGCAGAAGCGGGGAUAAUACCAUAAGACGAGAAGACCCUAUGGAGCUUUAGACGUCAGAGCAGCCCAUGUAAAGCACCCCUUAACAAAGGAAAAAACCAAAUGAAGCCUGCCCUAAUGUCUUUGGUUGGGGCGACCGCGGGGAAAUACAAAACCCCCAUGUGGAGUAGGAAUACACAUUCCUAAACCCAAGAGCUCCCGCUCUAAUGAACAGAAAUUCUGACCAAUAAGAUCCGGCACACGCCGAUCAACGGACCGAGUUACCCUAGGGAUAACAGCGCAAUCCCCUUAAAGAGCCCUUAUCGACAAGGGGGUUUACGACCUCGAUGUUGGAUCAGGACAUCCUAAUGGUGCAGCCGCUAUUAAGGGUUCGUUUG
rnacentral:rRNA from 1 species